rnacentral:rRNA from 1 species
GACGAACGCUGGCCGCGUGCCUACUACAUGCAAGUCGAACGCAGUGGGGACGGGUGUGUAACACGUGGGUAACCUCCCAUCAGAGGGGAAAACACUUGGAAACAGGUGCUAAACCGAUACUGAUGGAUGGACCCGCGGUGCAUUAGCUAGUCGGGGAGGUAACGGCGCACAAAGGCCACGAUGCAUAGCCGACCUGAGAGGGGGAUAGGACACACUGGGACUGAGACACGGCCCAGACUCGUACGGGAGGCAGCAGGAGGGAAUCUUAGGCAAUGGACGAAAGUCUGACCGAGCAACGCCGCGGGAGUGAAGAAGGGUUUCGGAUCGUAAAACUCUGUUGUUAGAGAAGCGGUAUCUAACCAGAAAGACACGGCUAAUGCAGUGAGAGCAGCCGCGGUAAUAC